rnacentral:rRNA from 1 species
AUUGAACGCUGGCGGCAGGCCUAACACAUGCAAGUCGAGCGGAUGAAGGGAGCUUGCUCCUGGAUUCAGCGGCGGACGGGUGUGUAAUGCCUAGGAAUCUGCCUGGUAGUGGGGGAUAACGUCCGGAAACGGGCGCUAAUACCGCAUACGUCCUGAGGGAGCAAGUGGGGGAUCUUCGGACCUCACGCUAUCAGAUGAGCCUAGGUCGGAUUAGCUAGUUGGUGGGGUAAAGGCCUACCAAGGCGACGAUCCGUAACUGGUCUGAGAGGAUGAUCAGUCACACUGGAACUGAGACACAGUCCAGACUCCUACGGGAGGCAGCAGUGGGGAAUAUUGGACAAUGGGCGAAAGCCUGAUCCAGCCAUGCCGCGUGUGUGAAGAAGGUCUUCGGAUUGUAAAGCACUUUAAGUUGGGAGGAAGGGCAGUAAGUUAAUACCUUGCUGUUUUGACGUUACCAACAGAAUAAGCACCGGCUAACUUCGUG